AAGUCGUAACAAGGUUUCCGUAGGUGAACCUGCGGAAGGAUCAUUAGCGAAGUUCGGAAUGCAUGUUCGGUGUUGAUGCUGCCCAGCAAUGGGAUGUGCUCGCUCGGAUGUGUGUCCCUUCUCUAUCCACCCCACUGUGAACCAAGUGUGUGAGCCGAAGAGAAAUCAGACGCUCGCAUGCAAACUUUUAACAUACCCCAAUAAAGUAUCAGAAUGUACCUUGCGUUAACUCGCACAAAUAUAACUUUCAACAACGGAUCUCUUGGCUCUC
rnacentral:misc_RNA from 1 species